rnacentral:lncRNA from 1 species
UUAAAACUCUCAUUUCAUCACGUGUAUGAAUGUAUCAUCUCUCAUUCACCAACCCUUUACAAAUAUCCUAUGGAGGCCAUUGAAGUUGCUAAUGAGGAUACAAAGAAAACAGUGCCUGAACUCUUAGAAGCAAUACAAAAUCUAUAUUCUACAAAGUUCUUGGGAUGACAGUGUCACAAAUGUUGCAAAUGGAAAGGUAGCUAGACGUAACACUGUAAGGUGUCCAGAACGGGAGCCAAGUCCUGAUCAUGCUUUGGGUAAAUUCCUCAAUUCAUCAGCAGAACGUGGUGUAGCUUCAACAACACUUCAAGUUUCCAAGAGCAUGACUCUUUAUUAGCCACGUUGAGAACCUGAUAUCAAAGGAAACCAAAUGUCAGAUAAAACAUAUAUUCUACCACUGCAGACUGUUACAUUUCGAACCAUUAUUAAAUGUAAAAAAGGAGAGAAAAUGAUUUAGCCGAGAAUCCUAAUCAGAAGAAUUGUAAAAGAUGGCAAUAAAGAGAUGCAAACAGGAAUCAUUGCU